AUUGAACGCUGGCGGCAGGCCUAACACAUGCAAGUCGAACGAGUGGCGGACGGGUGAGUAAUGUCUGGUAAACCGCCUCAUGGAGGGGGAUAACUACUGGAAACGGUAGCUAAUACCGCAUACCAUCAGAUGUGCCCAGAUGGGAUUAGCUAGUUGGUGGGGUAACGGCUCACCAGGGCGACGAUCCCUAGCUGGUCUGAGAGGAUGACCGGCCACACGGGAACGGGAACACGGCCAAGACUCCAACGGGGGGCGGCAGUGGGGAAUAUUGCAAAAUGGGCGCAAGCCUGAUGCAGCCAGGCCGCGUGGAGGAAGAAGGCCUUCGGGUUGUAAAGUACUUUCAGCGGGGAGGCGUUACCCGCAGAAGAAGCACCGGCUAACUCCGUGCCAGCAGCCGCGGUAAUUC
rnacentral:rRNA from 1 species